rnacentral:lncRNA from 1 species
GUUGACGUCACUAAAUUGCAAAAGAUGUCUAGAUCAAAACAUCGUCAAAGCGUGUAAUUUGUAUAAACGCCCAAACGUGUCCAUUUCUCAACUAACCCAAAACGGUAAACUGUACAGUUAACGGGUCAAAAAAGAGGGACGAAAGAUACUAGAGGGACAGUCAAACUGAUAAAUCGAAAAUUAACUGACAACGCCAUGUCCCUUUCUCUGCACAUUACAAUUUAUAUCGUGAAACACCGGCAACUGGACAACCAACAGUCUCAAGUAAAUUUGUACAGUACAAAUGUAAACUGCAAUUAAAAACUUGUAAACUUUGUUCUCUCUAAUAUGCAUGAAAUACUGGCAACUGGACAAUACGCAAUCAACA